CUAUUUGGGAGACAACGAGAGGGGGAGAGGGGAGGUGAAAAAUGCCGGUAGAUCCGCUCCGGAUCAGAUGGAGGGGAGCGGAAACGGAGAAAUUGGCAGCGUCCGGAGGUAGAAAAGCCCCCCCCUUUUUUUAAUUGGACAAGUGGUGUUUCUAAUUAUCCGAUCUACCCAACUAAUAAUUUCUCCAUUUGAGUCCUUGCGCACGUGGGAGUUGAACGGGCUCCCUCUCUUAGCUCCCCACCAACGCUGGCCGCUCGUUAGACCAGUCGGCAGUCGCCCACCCCACCAACUGGCUCCGGUCUCCACCACUGCCUCACCUCCUAUUAUCUCCCUCCUUUUUAUUAGGUAAAAAUCUUAUUAAGCCAUCAACAAACCCCUGGUAACUGAAAACACGCUCGACUCAAGAAGACCUGUGCCUUCGUUUGAGAAAGAGCGAAUCGAAUCAAUUCGGAUUGGAAUGGAGAGCUCGACCCAAGAAUCCCCUGCGACGGCGACGAAGAACACGUACACCUUCGAUUCCCCCCACCCGGUAUACGCCAUGGCCUUCUCCUCCCUCCCGGCGCCUUCUCCCCCGCGCCUCGCCCUCGGCUCCUUCAUCGAGGGCUACGCCAACCGCGUCGACGUCGUCACCCUCGACGAGGAGGCCCGCUCCUUGCGCCCCGAACCCUCCUCCUCCUUCGACCACCCCUACCCACCCACCAAGCUCAUGUUCCACCCCUGGUCCCUUCCCAACUCCCCCUUCUCCCUCCUCGCCUCCUCCUCCGAAUUCCUCCGCCUCUGGCGGCUCGACUCGUCGUCGGUCGAGCUCCGCAGCAUCCUCGGCAACAGCAAGUCGAGCGAGUUCUGCGCCCCGAUCACCUCCUUCGACUGGAACGACGCGGAGCCCCGCCGCAUCGGCACCUCCUCCAUCGACACCACCUGCACCGUCUGGGACAUCGAGCGCGGCGCCAUCGAGACCCAGCUCAUCGCCCACGACAAGGAGGUCUACGACAUCGCCUGGGGCGACGCCGGCGUCUUCGCCUCCGUUUCCGCCGACGGCUCCGUCCGCAUCUUCGACCUCCGCGACAAGGAGCACUCCACCAUCGUCUACGAGAGCCCCCGCCCGGACACCCCGCUCCUCCGCCUCGCCUGGAACAAGACCGAUCUCCGCUACAUGGCCACCAUCCUUAUGGACAGCAACCGCGUCGUCAUCAUCGACAUCCGAACCCCGACUGUGCCCGUCGCCGAGCUGCAGCGCCACCACGCCAGCGUCAAUGCAGUCGCCUGGGCGCCGCAGGCUGCCCGGCAUAUCUGCUCCGCCGGGGAUGACGGGCAGGCGCUCCUAUGGGAGGUGCCGGCCGCCGGGGCCACGGUGUCGCCGGACGGGAUUGAUCCCGCGCUGUGUUACACCGCGGGGGCGGAAAUCAACCAGCUGCAGUGGUCGGCGACGCACCCGGACUGGAUCGGGAUAGCGCUCGCCAACAAGGUGCAGCUGCUGAGGGUCUGAGGACUUUUUAUUACCGAGUCAUCCCAGAUUUGCAAGAGAGUCUCAAAUUGUGAAAAAAAGGAAAGAGGUUUGAUGUCUUAAUCAACGAGGGUCUCCUCAGCACUAUGUUCCUUGACAAAGCAGGGUACAUUUAAGAAAUUGAAGAUGGAAAUGCUUGUUGCAGGACCAGCUUACUGUCCCUGUUUCAUCCCAGCAUGUUUGCCGUAAGACUGGCUGAUGGCAUCUCCUGCUGGAGAGAAAUACAAUGUGGUUCUAGUUGUCUUUCAGAGUUAAAGAAAAAGGGGAAAACAAAUUAUGUGGCAUAUCUGAGUUCUUUUGGACGUAAGGAGACGAAUACAUUAUAUAUCAGGUGUUUGUUAUUGCCUAGAUGGUUUGCGCAUUUUUGCUUGUUUAUGGGGGACAAGUUGGAAUCCUGUUGGGACAAUCUGUAGAUUUUCCAAUCCAAUGGCAUGAAGUCUUUGUGGUGGUUGCAAGGCAGUUGGAAGAAGGCUACAAUUGGGAAAGUGGCUUGCUCAUGUUGAUAAUAAAUUCUUCUAUGUGAUUUUAGAUCAGAAUUGGCAAAACCACUCAUUGUACACUGCAUGCCAAACACCUCGACUGAAAGCUUGUUCUUAGAAUAGUAGUUGUAACCUUAUUUUAAAGGUAAGCCGAACAUAAGGGUGUAAGUUAUUUUCUAAAACAAAACAUGUCUAUUUCACUGUAUGUUCCUUGAUCAUGAGAAGGGGCACUUGUUUAUUUCACUCAUGGAACAUUACUCAGGAAAUACAAUGCGAUCAACAUUCAAAUGUUA